UACGUAGGGGGCAAGCGUUGUCCGGAAUUAUUGGGCGUAAAGAGCGUGUAGGCGGCUCGAUAAGUCUGCUGUGAAAGUCCAGAGCUCAACCCUGGAAGGCCGGUGGAAACUGUCGGGCUAGAGUCCGGAAGAGGCGAGUGGAAUUCCCGGUGUAGCGGUGAAAUGCGCAGAUAUCGGGAGGAACACCAAUGGCGAAGGCAGCUCGCUGGAACGGUACUGACGCUGAGACGCGAAAGCGUGGGGAGCAAACAGG
rnacentral:rRNA from 1 species